GACGAACGCUGGCGGCGUGCUUAACACAUGCAAGUCGAACGCUGAAGCUUGGUGCUUGCUCUGGGGGGAUGAGCGGCGAACGGGUGAGUAACACGUGAGUAACCUGCCUUUACUCCGGGAUAAGCCUGGGAAACUGGGUCUAAUACUGGAUACGACAUGUCACCGCAUGGUGGUGUGUGGAAAGGGCUUUAUUGGUUUUGGAUGGGCACACGGCCUAUCAGCUUGUUGGUGGGGUAAUGGCACACCAAGGCGACGACGGGUAGCCGGCCUGAGAGGGUGACCGGCCACACUGGGCCUGCGACACGGCGCAGACUCCUACGGGAGGCAGCGGUGGGGAAUAUUGCACAAUGGGCGGAAGCCUGAUGCAGCGACGCCGCGUGCGGGAUGACGGCCUUCGGGUUGUAAACCUCUUUCAGCACGGAAGAAGCGAAAGUGACGGUACGUGCAGAAGAAGCGCCGGCUAACUACGUG
rnacentral:rRNA from 1 species